rnacentral:rRNA from 1 species
GAUGAACGCUGGCGGCGUGCCUAAUACAUGCAAGUCGAGCGAAGCGGGGACGGGUGAGUAACACGUGGAUAACCUCCUAUAAGACUGGGACAACUUCGGGAAACCGGAGCUAAACCGGAUACUCAUCGUUGGUUCCGCGCUGCAUUAGAUCGUUGGUAAGGUAACUGCUUACAAAGGCAACACUGCAUAGCCGACCUGAGAGGUUGGGCGGCCACUCUGGGACGGAGAAGCGGUCCAGACUCCUACGGGAGGCAGCAGUAGUGAAUCUUCCGCAAUGGACUAAAGCCUGAUGGAGGAACGCCGCGUGAGAGAUGAAGGUCUUUGGAUCGUAAAACUCUGUUAUUAGGGAAGCGGUACCUAAUCAGAAAGCCACGGCUAACUACGUGCCAGCAGCCGCAGUAAUAC